rnacentral:rRNA from 1 species
CGCCUCUUGCCCAACUAUAAGAGGUCCAGCCUGCCCAGUGACUCACGUUCAACGGCCGCGGUAUCCUAACCACGCGAAGGUAGCGUAAUCAAUUGUCUCUUAAAUGGGGACUUGUAUGAAUGGCAUCACGAGGAUUUAACUGUCUCCCCUCUCUAAUCUGUGAAACUAAUCUCCCUGUGAAAAAGCAGGGCUGUUCUUAUAAGACGAGAAGACCCUGUGGAACUUUAAACAAGUAAUAAUUGCUUUCCCCCACCACCUCCCAGGAGUUCCUGUCCCAAGCAUACUAACUACAAGUUUUCAGUUGGGGUGACUAUGGAGAAAAACCCAUCCUCCAUGAUGUAAACCAAAUUAAAACCACAAGCUACAGCUUUACGUAUCAGCAAACUGGCAUCCAUUGACCCAUUUAUAUGAUCAACGAACCAAGCUACCCCAGGGAUAACAGCGCAAUCCACUUUGAGAGCACAUAUCGACAAGUGGGCUUACGACCUCGAUGUUGGAUCAGGGUACCCCAGUGGUGCAGCCGCUACUAAAGGUUCGUUUGUUCAACGAUUAAAACCCUA